AUGCCACUGACGGACAAGAAACUGAAGAAGAAUGACCUACAACCGAUCUGCGACAAGCUCAUUGCAAGGAUGAAGGGCAUGAAGCUUGCCUUUCUUUCCCUUGAUGGACGGCUGGAUCUGGUAAGGACCGUGCUCUCAGCGGUGCCGAUCUUCCAAAUGGUAGCCUUGAUAUUACCUGCUUGGCUGGCUAAGCUGAUCGACAAGGUUCGUCGUGGAUUCCUCUGGGAGGGCAGUGACGUGGCGGCCGGAGGAAAAUGCCUGGUCAACUCGGGUACUGUUUGUCGGCCAAAGGAUUUCGGAGGGCUCGGCAUCAUCAACCUGACAGCCCAAAGUCGCGCCCUACGGAUGAGGUGGCUGUGGCUCUCAUGGAACGACGGCAACAAGGCAUGGCAGGGGCUGGAUUUG
rnacentral:rRNA from 1 species